CUUUAAAACACGCUUUUAUAUUUCCCAAAACUUAACGCUUCUUUUUUUUCUCAGGCCUCUCUUUCCUUCUCUCUCUCCAACUAUCAGUCGGCUACCCAAAUCCUUUCCCCCUGAAGACUUUGAACUGAUUCGGGGCGAUUUGAGGCCGAGUCGAGACGCAAGAGCAUCGCGGUGUAGAUUUUCGUCCGAUUUGAGAUUCAGGUAUUUUUGACCCCGGUAGCGGGUGUUGAUUACUUAGUGGCAGGUUCAUCGGAAUUAGCAAGUUAACUGCCUGGCGAUCACAGCCUUGCUUUCCUCCCUCCUUAUUCUCCCUUAGUUGUAUUCAGUGACUUUCCGCAUUGUUUUUCUAUUUUAAACACUUUGUAAAGGUUUAUUGUUAAAUAGCUUUGAUUUUAUCCUAAGAAUGAAAAUAUUGAUUGGUUUUGGAAUUGUGUCGGCUGGCCUAGUUCCAUGAUAGGCGCCAUCAUGACUGGGUUGGUUUUGAUGUCGUGACAUGGACGAACAGUACGAUGCCUGAACACUAAAGAAUUGAGCAUAAUUGGUAUACUUUCUUAGUGAUUGUUUCAGAUUUAUGGAACUCUCAAAUAGUUUAGGCAUAUCAGCUGCUUGUUAAUCUGUGGAAGUUCUUAACUUUUGUGACUUGCUAGACUGUUUUGUGAAUGUACUAGUGAAUUAUUUCCUUGACAAGGUAUGUUCCUCUUGCGUGCUUGGUGCAGUCUUAAAUGUUAGUCAAUUUGCAAUGAUCAUUAGAGUUUUAUAUUUCAGAUA